ACUUCCGGGAAACCGGCGCAGACGCACUGGAUUUGGUCCAUUGUCCUUGAGGAGAACUUAGGGUAUAGAGGGAGACAUCUCACCCACUCCAAUGUGCCUGCAGCGGGGGUAAGAAUGAUUGAAGGCCUCCUCAGUGGAACAUGAGUCCCUGGCUCAGCUGGUUCAGACCUGGCAGUAAAUGGACCACACUAUGCCAAAGAGGGAAGUUUCCAUCAGUUAAGAUGCCAUGGAGUGUGUGUGUAUGUGUGUGUAAAGGGUGCUGGAGGGCAGUUAGGCAUUUGAUUAUUGUGCAGUUGUUGUAAUGUUUACCAGUUGACACCUGUAUUUAUCACACUACAUCAGAAAGUCCUGACACCUUUACAGUUGUCCAUUUUUUUGCCUCAAGAAAAAGAAAUGUUCACCAGCAUCA